GAUGAACGCUGGCGGCGUGCCUAAUACAUGCAAGUCGAGCGAAUGGAUUAAGAGCUUGCUCUUAUGAAGUUAGCGGCGGACGGGUGAGUAACACGUGGGUAACCUGCCCAUAAGACUGGGAUAACUCCGGGAAACCGGGGCUAAUACCGGAUAACAUGUUGAACCGCAUGGUUCGAAAUUGAAAGGCGGCUUCGGCUGUCACUUCUGGAUGGACCCGCGUCGCAUUAGCUAGUUGGUGAGGUAACGGCUCACCAAGGCAACGAUGCGUAGCCGACCUGAGAGGGUGAUCGGCCACACUGGGACUGAGACACGGCCCAGACUCCUACGGGAGGCAGCAGUAGGGAAUCUUCCGCAAUGGACGAAAGUCUGACGGAGCAACGCCGCGUGAGUGAUGAAGGCUUUCGGGUCGUAAAACUCUGUUGUUAGGGAAGAACAAGUGCUAGUUGAAUAAGCUGGCACCUUGACGGUACCUAACCAGAAAGCCACGGCUAACUACGUGCCAGCCGCCGCCGUAA
rnacentral:rRNA from 1 species